rnacentral:rRNA from 1 species
UGUACACACCGCCCGUCGCUACUACCGAUUGAACGGCUUAGUGAGUCCUUUGGAUUGUUGGAGACCGGAUGGCAACAUCUAGUUUUCGACGAGAAGUUGGGCAAACUUGGUCGUUUAGAGGAAGUAAAAGUCGUAACAAGGUUUCCGUAGGUGAACCUGCGGAAGGAUCAUUA